UGGGGAAUAUUGCACAAUGGGCGAAAGCCUGAUGCAGCAACGCCGCGUGAGCGAUGAAGGUCUUCGGGUCGUAAAGCUCUGUCCUCAAGGAAGAUAAUGACGGUACCUGAAAAACAAGCCACGGCUAACUACGUGCCAGCAGCCGCGGUAAUACGUAGGUGGCGAGCGUUGUCCGGAAUUACUGGGCGUAAAGGAUGCGUAGGUGGAUAAUUAAGUGGGAUGUGAAAUCCCCGGGCUCAACCCGGGAACUGCAUACCAAACUGGUUAUCUAGAGUGCAGGAGAGGAAAGUAGAAUUCAUAGUGUAGCGGUGAAAUGCGUAGAUAUUAUGAGGAAUACCAGUGGCGAAGGCGACUUUCUGGACUGUAACUGACACUGAGGCAUGAAAGCGUGGGUAGCAAACAGG
rnacentral:rRNA from 2 species